AUCGAACAUCUAAUUAAAAAACAAAAAAACUUCUGGCAAGCAGUAUUAACUAAAUAUCAGCCUUUGUAGAAGAACUGAUUUACGAAUUGGGGAUUUAUUUAUAAUUUCAGAUCACAGACACUGAGAGACAAUGGGCAUAACAUGGCAGGCCUAUCCUGAGAUAGGAGACAGACUUUACUUUGAACGGCUUAACGGGAUGUACUAUCAUUGUGCAAUUUAUAUUGGUAAAGGUCGAGUCAUUCAUUAUAGCAGCGAUCCAAGAAACGGCCUAUUUGAGAGUGUAUUGAAAUAUUUGAUGGGACAGGUGACAGUAAGAACUGACUGUAUUUCUGACGUUGUAGGAGGUUCACCUAUAUAUAUUUUCAAAAGCUU
rnacentral:lncRNA from 1 species